rnacentral:rRNA from 1 species
CCUACGGGUGGCAGCAGUGGGGAAUAUUGCACAAUGGGGGAAACCCUGAAGCAGCAACGCCGCGUGAGUGAAGAAGUAUUUCUGUAUGUAAAACUCUAUCAGCAGGGCAGAAGAUUCCGGUACCUGAGUGCGACGCCCCGGCUACCUCCGUGCCAGCCGCCGCGGUAAUACGUAGGGGGCCAGCGUUAUCCGGAUUGACUGGGUGUAAAGGGGGCGUAGACGGGGAGACAGUUCUGAAGUGAAAGCCCGGGGGUCAACCCCGGGACUGCUUUGGAAACUGCCUGCCUGGAGUGCUGGAGAGGCAAGCGGAAUUCGUAGUGUAGCGGUGAAAUGCGUAGAUAUUAGGAAGAACACCAGUGGCGAAGGCAGCGUGCUGGACAGUAACUGACGUUGAGGCUCGAAAGCGUGGGGAGCAAACAGGAUUAGAUACCCUGGUAGUC